rnacentral:rRNA from 1 species
AACGAACGCUGGCGGCAGGCCUAACACAUGCAAGUCGAACGGACGUAGCAAUACGUUAGUGGCGCACGGGAGAGUAACACGUGGGAACCUACCUUUUGGUUCGGGAUAACGUCGGGAAACUGACGCUAAUACCGGAUAAGCCCUAUGGGGGAAAGAUUUAUUGCCAAAAGAUGGGCCCGCGUUAGAUUAGCUAGUUGGUGAGGUAAUGGCUCACCAAGGCUACGAUCUAUAGCUGGUCUGAGAGGAUGACCAGCCUCACUGGGACUGAGACACGGCCCAGACUCCUACGGGAGGCAGCAGUGGGGAAUAUUGGACAAUGGGGGCAACCCUGAUCCAGCCAUGCCGCGUGAAUGAUGAAGGCCUUCGGGUUGUAAAGUUCUUUUGGUAGGGACGAUAAUGACGGUACCUACAGAAUAAGCUCCGGCUAACUUCGUGCCAGUAGCCGCAGUAA